ensembl:lncRNA
CACCUGACAUGAUGUACACUCCAGAGCAGUUAUUACUGUCAAAGGAGAAGUUUGUUUCCUGUAUACUUUAAGCGUUGGCCGGCUCCCUAUAUGAACACUGAGCUAAGUUCCAGACUCAGGUUAUAGGGCCCUGACGGCUUUUCUGAAUGUGUAGGCCUGGCAGGCAGUCUGAUCCCCUGAGUUUUCCACAAGGUCGCUGGUGAAUCUGAUGCUCCCGGUUGGGGGCCAUGUUGGAAAAGCCUGCCUGUUUCAGCUCACACAGCCCUGCCAGGGAGGGGGGCCACUCUCGCCCCGCUGUCCAGAUGUAGAGCCUGGAGAUGAAGAUCAAGGACCGAGCAGAGGGCAAGGGCUGGGGGCGGAGGUGUUCUGCCGACCCGACCCGCUCCUGGGGCCGCCUGGUCUCGGGCGUGCAGGUGGGCUGGAUCGCGGCUCCCGCCCCCGCCCCUCCACCACCCGCCCGCCCGGCCCGCCCUCGUGCUCCGGCGCCCGCACACAAAGCCCCUUUCACGGACUCGGGCUCGACUUCUGCUGCUCCGGAGUCACCUGUCUCAUCGCGUCCUGUUCUUUGUAGCCAUCGCGUUCCUAUGGAUACCCUAAGGCCCAAAUUAAAUAUUACAGAAUUUUUGUUUGGCAGAGAUUGCCAACAUUAAGCCACACAACUGGUAUCACAAGACAUUGGCAGGUGAUGGCGCACCAACCCCGGGGCCAGAAGACAAGGUCCUUCCAGGAGCUCCCCACACCUGCAGGGUCAUGCUCAAAGAGCACCACAGGUGACAGGCACGGUGUGACCCAGCUCUUGCCACCACUCCAUGGGCCGUCCACUGACUUGACCUGGCCACAUCCAGCUCCUGCUCACCACUGGGCCGUCCACUGACUUGACCUGGCCACAUCCAGCUCCUGCCACCACUCCAUGGGCCGUCCACUGACUUGACCUGGCCACAUCCAGCUCCUGCUCACCACUCCAUGGGCCGUCCACUGACUUGACCUGGCCACAUCCAGCUCCUGCCACCACUCCAUGGGCCGUCCACUGACUUGACCUGGCCACUCAAGCCACUGGUAUUCCCUAGGUGGGCCCACCUCUCACGACAUGACACAGGAAGGCAGACGGUCCCACGGAAGGAACAAAAACCUCUUCACCUUGAAGACACAGUUCAAGCAUCCCCUUCUCCAAUUUUUUCCUCCUGAGUCUCCAAGUGGAACAACUCCAUCAUUGUGGCCCUAUCCCCGCGUAUAGGCCUCUGGCUCAGUACGGGUAAACUGCUAUUGGUCUUCUUAACUUCCAAGUUCUGCACAGAAAUGCACAGGCCCUGAAGGCAGCUGGCUCCAUGAGCCUUGGGACAGAGAGAAAAGCUCUGAGAAGGAAGCUUUGACACCAGAAGGGAGUCUGUCUCCAGGAAAUAACAAAAACAGACUUACAUCAAGAGGAUCACUGGAUGGAACAAAACAAAGCAAAGAGAAAGUUUAAAAUUUUCUCAGAGAGUUAAAAAUAUGAAAAAGGGAGAUGAGAAUAAAAUUUAUGGGGCUACUAUGAAUUCAUGAUUUUUAAUUAUUUAUAUCAUCUAUCUCCAUCUCCCUCAAUAUUUCCAUAUAUCUUUAUCUACAGUUAUUUCCUUGCUCUGUCUGCCAAGAAAAGCCUAGAAGCAAUGACAUUCCAGUAGCAAUGGGCACUCAGCACCCAGAUCUUGAUUUCUUAAAAUCAUUUUCCAUUCAAAGGAAUCAAGAUUCCCUGGGAAAAAAAUGGCUGAUUCCACAGCUGGGGCUGGGAAGAUACACCUUAAGAACACCUUAAGCCAGAAAGUAAGAAAGUGUUUAAAAAAAAAAAAAAUGAAAGGGACAUAUUAAAAGACAUAGGAGCCUGCUAGAAAUCUGGGAUGGUUUGAGAAUCAAAGCAAUACCUUGCAACUUUGAGUAAAUAGGAAUCCAUUCAACCAUACCUAUAAACAAACAUUAAUAAGUAGGGAGGAAGAUGCUUUCCUUUAGAAGUAGAAUGUCAAACAAGUGUAGAAGAAACUAUGGAGUUAGAAAAUCACACUGAAUGAAGAACAAAGUAUGUAAUGACAUCAAAGUGUCCCCCCACAAGUAACUUGUUACUUACAAAGGGGAGAAGUCAACUUAGAAAGGGGAAGUCUGGCAGGCAUUAACUUAACCAAGUGAUCACAGAGCUAACGUCAAUAUUAAUGGGAUCAACUAACAUCACCUGCCAACUUAAGACACACACAGAGGACACAUCACUUCUGUGAUGUUCGCGCCCGACAUGCCAAACCCUAAUCUAGUCCAUGAGACCAAUCCAAUUUGAGGAACAUUCUACAAAAUGUCUGGCUGUAUUCUUCAAAAAGGCCAAGGUAAUAAAAGGAAAAACAUCUGAAUUGAGAGACACGUGUUAAGCAUGUAUCACAACUAAAUGUAACACGAUUCUGCAUCAGGAAAAAGGGAAUCACCGUAAGGAACAGCACCAGGACACCUGACACCAUUUAAACGGCGAGCAGGGGUAGAUGACAGCAUUCCGUCAGUGUCAGCGUGACGUCAGCAUUAUACUUCCUGCUUCUGACAAGUGGUUACGGUUAUAAAUUAUGAGACGAAGUCCUUUUUCUUAAGGAAAGGCUUACUGAAGUUUUGGGGUAGAGGGGUAACAAUAUCUACAACUGACUCUCAGUGAUUGAGAAAAUACAACAUGUAAAUACAGAUGAAGCAAAUUGUCAGUCAUAAUGCAAAUGGGGUAAAAUAUAAGCACUUGGUAAGUGGGAGUUCUUCGUGAUAUUCCGGUAACUUUUCUGUAAGUUUAAAAUCAUAUUAAAAUUCUAAAAGUUCCCAAACCAACCAGCAAUCCAACAACAAGGGAUGAGUCAGAAUUAUGGUACAGUCACUCUAUUUAAAAUUACAGAGCGUUACAAAUAAACAUCUGUGAAAAUACAUAACGAAAUAGAAAAAAUGCUUAUAGCUUAUACAGGGUUGAAUGAUGAAAGCCGGAUACAAAGUAUUUUAUGUGUCCAUUAUUAUAACUAAGCAGAGCAAGCACAUAAGUAAGAUUGGAAGGGUAAUAUCAAAGGUGGUAAUAAGGAUAUUAGGGGAAGGGAGAGACGAGUGACUUUUUCUUAAAAAAAAAAAAAAAAAGAAAAAAUCAGCAUAUUGAAAAAAAUACUUGCCAGCAUAGGCACUCCCUCAUCCGGCAGGUAUGCUGGAGAGUACUGGAGAUGAGUGCUAUUGACCGCCUUCUCUUGCCUCAGGCUGCCCCUCCCCAAACCUUGACACCUAUCCCUCACCCCAAGAACAGACACUGGGUCUGGAGCGCCCUCACAAGGGCAUCUGAGGGUGGUGGGGCUAGGAGUAUGAAGCUCCCCUGCAGGCAGUCUGCCAGCCCUGCCCCACACAGUGGCUUCAGUCUGCUCUGAGCAGCGAGCUGAGCAGCUGUGGACGCAGCUGAGGGGAAGCCCAGCAAGGGCACAUCUGAGACUGGGCCUCCCUGGCCAGGCCAGCACAGAGA